ACGCGGUCGUCCCUCUGAGUUUCCUUUUUUAUUCUCCUAUUUAAUUGAAACUGAAGCUUCUUCUAAUCAAGAACCCUAAAUCCCUCUGUAUUCUACUUGGGCGAUUCCAAAGGGGAAUGAUGAUAUUGGCAUUCAAGACUCAUCAAGUUCGCUGACCUGAUUAACGAAGGGUACCGUGCAAUUUAUAAUGGUGUCAAGACGGUUGAUGCAAUGAAGAAGUUGUCCUCUGUUAAGAGUGAUGGGUAUGCUUUUCGAUCAGCUGAUUCGUUGUCGGAAUCAAUAGAUUGGAAAGAAUCAGGUGCUGUAACAGAAGUCAAAGAUGAAGGAAGUUGUGGUGGGUACACUACUGAUUAAUAUGGUAAUCUCAAUAGAAUAACUUGCAGUAGUGAAUAAUUUUCUGUUACAGAAUCAGGUGCAGUAACAGAAGUCAAUAAUUUUCUCUUUGUUAUUUGCUACUUGAUUAAUAUGAGCACUCUAUUUCUGAUUAUGAUGCGUUACAUGUUCAAUCGCUAAAGAUUACAUUGAACUGAUUUGUCUAAUUGUUCAAUUUUGAUAAUUGUUUUUCGAAUGUUUUUAUACUAUUGUCGGGCGCUUUGUAGGCGAAUUAAGUUACUAAGAUCUAUCAUUUGAAUCCCGGUUCUAUCUUUUUGUUGAAGGGCUGAAAAAGAUUGAUAAAAAAGGACGCGGUUUUCUUAAAUUUAGGUAUUCAGUUAAUUUAAUCAUUAAUCGUCUGAAUUUUUUUGUGUUGGUUGAUAUCAUAGAUCUAGGGUUUGUUCUUAAUAAAUAUAUUAUAGUAAAGAAGUUCAAUUUGGAUAAGGUUUGUUCUGUUUGUCAAUUAAAAUGAUUAUAGGUUUAAUUUUCUAACCUAAUGCCACUCAAUUUUAAUCAGACUCGCAAUUUGCUGGUUUGGAAUAUAUAAUCGCUUAUUUGAAUUGUUCUCUCAGUUGCUGCCACACUCCAUUGAGUAGUGCUCUACAUUUGUUAUUUAUUAUUUCUUGAAAUUAACCUGAUAUAGUCAAUUAACCAGAUUUGGGAUGUUAAACGUUUGAUAGUGAUCCCUAAAGUUUGCCCCCUAAGUGUUGAUUAAAUGUCUGUUUAGAGGAAUGAGAGUUCAGUCGAGUUGAGUUAAUGAUAAUCACUUCUGCACAAAAAGUGAAAACAUAUGCUGCUAUACCCUGUCAAUUGAUCAUAACUGCUUUUGUCAUCCAGGUUUGUUUAUUUUUCAUUUCUUCUGAGUGCUUACGAGUAAAUAGAAUUAGUUCUGUUCUAGCUUCGUAUUUAAUUAUAUGUAUGAUGGUUCCUCCUUUGUUGUACAUGUAUGUCUUAAGGAAAGAUUCAAAAGCUUCUGUCAUGACAAGUUUAAGUGUUGGUCGGUCAUCAACCAUCUAGAGACCAAAAUCCAGCUUGACUGAUACGUUUUUUUAGAGUUGCCCAAAUCAACCCACGAGCAAUCUAGCGAGACGCAAUACACAGGUUUGCUUAAUACACAAAUAUGCAGCAUCGCACUGUCACAAAUACCAGAAUCAUGGUUUACCAAACGUGGUCUCGCCGGUAAUGUGGCUGCCAGUUCCUCGGCUAUGGUAGUAUGCAGGGUCGGUAAGGUCUUACAAAAUAAAAAUCCUUUUAUUCUGAUGUUGAUAGCUGGUGGUUUUCUGCGACCUCUUCUAUCAUUUGUAAUAUAAUCUACAUGACCCGUUUGACUGAUACACCUUUUUUAGAGUUGUCCAAAUCAACCCAAAAGGUAAGGAAAACUCACCCAAAUUGACCCGCUUCUACAGGUUGGGUCAGUUUUGGGAUACAUUAUAUUAAUCGAGAACAUUCUAAGCUAUUUGUAAGAUCCCAAAGCACAUGAUGUUGCUAUUUAUUUUUUUAAUCAAUAGUACAGAUGGAUCCACUGUUCCAUGAUCUUACUAUUCGCAUGUUUAUAAAUAGAUUUAGAAAUUUUGUGAAACAGUCUGUAUCGGGAUAUUAUUGAUGUUUGAUUUCCGCCCACAGGCACAGGAACAAAAAAAAAUUGUUCUUCUUCAACAAGCAUAUGCGUGGCAUUAAUUUUGAAGCUUGGAGUAAAAGUCACUUUGAUUUUUCCUUUGAUAUACGUCUUUUUACAAGUUGAAUAUUAUAAAAAUGUCUGGGUACAACUAUGUGAACCGAAGAUUUGGCUGAAGAGUAGACGAUAUUUGAUGUUAUUAUUGCGUUAGAGGCAUGAAAUUCCUGCAGCAGGUGCACUUGGUAUGGGUGACCAAUGAUCUGCUCAAAUUCCAAAUGCUUAGUGGGUUGGUGACAUGGCACCACCGUUGCUCAAGGUGCAAGUGGUUGAAGGUUAGACUCAACGAGAUGAGAAGACAUAGAUGUGGCAGAAUAUAGAUGAGAAACGGUUUUGGGAACCGGUGGGCCAGACCACACUAUACUAUGGAGGGCAUAUUUAUGAUGGCUAUGAGUACGCGAUGACGCCACUCAAUGACCCAAGUACGUAUGAUGCAGCUUAUGGAGCUUAUCCAAUGUAUGUCAUUCAUCAACAAGUCAACUAAAUGAGGUGUAGGCAUGCCCUUAAAAAUAGUUUAAUCGCCAAGUAUUAGCUGGAUAGAAUCAACUUUAAAGCUACAUCAUUUACCAGCAUGGCCAAGCAGAGGAUUCUCUUCAGGCUUCAGUACCAGCCUUCUUAAUACUGCACCACCUAAUUGACUCGGUUCAAGGGAGAUGGUAAGCCAUUGAGGACGUGUAUGUGAUACAUAACUUCUUAAAACUCUUUAAAUUAUCUCACAAAUUUAACUACGCUGCAGGGCAUGAAAAUUACCAGUAGUUAGUGGGUUGAGCUGGAAAACGGGUGCCGGUGGAAAUGGGUUAUAUUUUGGUACGGCUAACAGCCGGCCGGGUUGGGUUAGCUCACUAACCUUUUAAAACGCUGCACUAUUUUGUCGAAAAAAACUGCAUUUUGUUGGGUAUUUUUCAAGCAAAAAAACAUGCAGUUUUGGGGUGUUUUUAGUCGCAAGAAUCAACAGAGUUUUGGGCAGUUUUUACACGAAAAAUUAUAGAGUUUUGGGCAGUUUUUAGUCGAAAAGACAUGCAGUUUUUGGGGGGUUUUUAGUUGUAAAAAUCUGCAGAUUUUUUGGUAGUUUUUACACGAAAAAACAUGCAGAUUUUUGGGCAUUUUUUAGUCGAAAAAUCUGCAGUAUUUUGGGCAGUUUUUUCGGCAAAAAACGGCAUUUUUUUGGUUUUUUUUUUGUCGAAAAAAGCAGCCGUUUUGGGGGUUUUUGUUGAAAAAAUUGCAUAAUUUUUAAAACAAGAACAAUAAACAUAAACUUUGAUUCAUUUAUAAAACGCUAAUAUAUGAUGCCGAUGUCCUUUUAAAUAGAUAACUCAAUCAUGAGUCAUAGGGUGAGUUUGAUGGAACUUUAAUAUUUAACAUGCAAACUUUAAUGUUCGUUUUUUAAACAAUAUAACUAUCUUUUGCUACAUUUGUAGAGAGUUCAAAAGUUGCAUCUGAUAAUGAUGAUGAUGUCAGCGUUAACGGAUCAAUUUCAUUAUAUAAGGUGUCGGUUCCAAGUGCAUCACCACUUUUUAAUAUAUCUUUGCAGUAUUGGAUCAAAUGGUUGCAAAUAGUAGUUUUAAACCAAAAUUUAUUUAAACUAAGUUAAUUUAGACACUAAUAUAGAGAAAGAGAAAGAGAAAGCUAUGUAUAUUGUGAUUGUGCUUAUAAUUAAAAUAACAAGCCAUGCAACAUUAAAGCAACUAGCUUACAUUUUUCUUAUGUUACAGACUUCGUAUUGAUGUAACGGAUUUCAGGAUGCUAAAGUUGAGUGUAUUAGAGUCAAAGGUCAUAUCCUUAUCAUAUAUGGUAACAAAUUUAUUUAGUAUGAGUUAUGCACGAAGAUGACCACAUAAUUCUCUAGCAGUACCUAGACUGAGAACCGGCUCAACAAUCUGAAGUUCUCGACAAGUCAUUGUUUCUUUUAUAUGUACUCUUUUAAAUUAUGAAUAUGGUUCCCAUUAGCUCUUUUACCGGGUGACCUUAUAUUAUUCAAAAUUCAGAAAAAAAAAGUUUACAUGUUUAUAGUCCUAUAAAGAAUCUCAUUU